UGAGGAAUAUUGGUCAAUGGACGCAAGUCUGAACCAGCCAAGUAGCGUGCAGGAUGACGGCCCUAUGGGUUGUAAACUGCUUUUAUAUGGGGAUAAAGUGGGGAACGUGUUCCCUUUUGCAGGUACCAUAUGAAUAAGGACCGGCUAAUUCUGUGCCAGCAGCCGCGGUAAUACGGAAGGUUCGGGCGUUAUCCGGAUUUAUUGGGUUUAAAGGGAGCGUAGGCCGUUUGGUAAGCGUGUUGUGAAAUGUAGGAGCUCAACUUCUAGAUUGCAGCGCGAACUGUCAGACUUGAGUGCGCACAACGUAGGCGGAAUUCAUGGUGUAGCGGUGAAAUGCUUAGAUAUCAUGAAGAACUCCGAUUGCGAAGGCAGCUUACGGGAGCGCAACUGACGCUGAAGCUCGAAGGUGCGGGUAUCGAACAGG
rnacentral:rRNA from 1 species